CGGCCGCGCCGGGGGCCAGCGCCCGGGCCGAGGAUUGUGUUGAAGGCUCAGUUUCUGUUACCAAACAAAGAACAGGAUCUAUUGGAGAUCGUCCAGCCAGACCUACUCUUCUAGAACAAGUGCUAAAUCAAAAGAGGCUGUCAUUAUUAAGAAGUCCGGAAGUGGUGCAAUUUCUGCAGAAACAGCAGCAAAUGCUAAGUCAGCAAGCUUUGGAACAAAGGCAACAACAGUUUCAAGGAACACCUAUUUGAUUUGUCUCAAUCAUAUAUCUACAGUUAAAUCUCAUCUUGAAAUGGGAAGUGGGACAUGGAUACAUUCUUCACAUUCUUAAAAAGGAAUACUAGUGGUGUUAAGAAGGAAAAUUUAAAUUGUUGCUGUUAGUGCUUUGCUAUACUUGUUUUGUGGUUGCACUUUUGGAUUUCUGAGCUGUUCAGAUAUCCACAAACUUGUGAGCAAAUCUAGAGGAAUCUGGUUCCCUAUGUCAGCAACUUUGUUUACCUUUCAUAUUUUGUAUAGAAAUGUAUUGAUAUUGUUAAUAUUUACAUAUACAUCCCCUUCCCACCAAAUUCUUCCAUUAAAUUAACUAAACAUUUUACUGUAUGAAAUGUUUAAUAUCUUAAAUGAAGCCACUCUUUAAUGACAGUCAUUUGAAGAAGAAAAGGCAAUUACUUUCUGUGGAAGUUGAGAAAUAAAAGUACUGACUUGGAGCUAACCUAGUGGUAUGACAUAAUGACCUAAUGCUCAGGGAUAUAUGGGACUUGAGUCAAUUAGAUUCUGUUGCACUAAUGUUUAAAGACACAAUGUCAUGUGCUAGAUGCACUAGUGACUGACAGAAGUGGAAACAUCCUGUUGCUACUUGUCCAUAUCUGUGUUGAAAUGUAUUAUUAUUCUAUGUAAAAACUUGCAGAAGAUAACCACCAGAAUCAAGGGCAAGCUUGAAGAAGUUGAAGUGCAGAAAAGCCGUAGAGCAUAAAGAAGAAAGAAGAGCUUUGGGAAGAAUUUAAAGCUGAAACAAAGUUAAUCUAAGCUUUUUCAUUGUUUACAUAAACUUUUACUAUAACAUGUUUUUAUUAUUAUUAGUAAGUGUUACUCCUUACAGAAUUGGUGUCAACAGCUUGCUUAAGUGAUAGUAGAAUAAUUUGUCAUCUUUGGGGUGAACUAAUAUAAGGGUAGAAAUAGAUGAUGUCUGAUUUCUUAUUUGUGCUGGCUUAAAAAAGUUAAGGCAGCACAAAUGCAGAGCAAAGAGAUGUCCUUACUCUAUGUUAUGCCACGUGAUGGGAAAAUCAGUGUAGCAGCAAAGGCUAAUAAUAGACUCUGUCGCUAUUAUACUCUGUUUAUUCUGUGCCCUGUGGGGCUGGUUGGGUGGGGGAAAUCCCAGCUUUCUCCACUGCUCUGGAUCUGUGCCAUAGAUCUGGGAUAAUGGGGGAAAAGUGCUUUCCCACUUAGCCCUGCACAGCUAGCUGGGCAGGGGAAUGCCCAGCAUGCUCCACUGCCCCAGACCUGUGCUGGGCUGGAGAAUGCCAGUUGUUCCUGCACCCAGCCAGUGGGGCUGGCUGAGCGGGGAGGCACUAUUCCCUGCUGUCCGAGACCCAUAGCCCAGGUCUGGGUAAGUGAAAAGAUCAUGUUGCACCUUGUCUUAUGCCAUCAAAAGCAGGACAAAGGACAACGUAUGUGUUUUGUCCAGUGAAAUGAAUCAGCUGUGCAGUAACAUGUCGCAGUACAGCUGAAUUGCUCAACUUGGUGACGUUUCUUUUUAGCCCGAGAAUAUUUAUUUGUCACUGUGUUAAAACCCAUGAGUAACAUUUUUAUUCCUAAACAAAAAAAGAUUAAAGCUCUGAAUUUUAGAAUAGCAGUUGUGUCCAAAGAGUAAAAAUAUAAUUCCCUUUUUGCUCCUUAACAGUAGUCUGUCUUCUCAAGAAAGAUACCUUUUUCAUGAACUUUCUACAAGUCAUCUAGCACUUAAUUCACUCAAAACAAUAUUGGACACUUGAUUUAUAGUAAGUGUUAAAUUUCAGGUUACUUGCCUAGGAAUCCUGACAUUGCAUCACGUGAAGAUGCAGCCCAAGUUUUGAUCGUAUUAAAAAUUGUUCCUAAGAAAAGGGUGUUGUAGUAGUGAAGAUUCCUGUUACGUGUGAGUGGUACAUACUCCAUUGGUAUCAUUUAUCUGUUCAAGAAUAUGUGAGACACGCACAUAGGUGUUUCUAUAUGUAAUAUAUUUGUGUAGAAACUGUUCAGUAGGAAUUUUAAUUGUGUGUCUAGAAUGAUGCAGCUCGCUCUCUUGCUUGCAUCUGUGCUCACUCGCUCGCUCUCAUUUAAUAUCCUUUGUAUCAACAAUAUUGGACCAGUGUUUUGAGCAAAUCCUUUUGUAAAAACUAUAUUUUUUAAUUUCCAUUGCAAUCGUGUGUUAAUCUUGUUCUUUUUUAUAUUAAAAUAGCCCUGAUUAAGUGGCCUGAAACUUG